rnacentral:misc_RNA from 1 species
GAUGAAGAACGUAGCGAAAUGCGAUACGUAGUGUGAAUUGCAGAAUCCAGUGAAUCAUCGAAUCUUUGAACGCACAUUGCGCCCGCCAGCAUUCUGGCGGGCAUGCCUGUUCGAGCGUCAUUUCAACCCUCGACCUCCCUUUGGGGAAGUCGGCGUUGGGGACCGGCAGCACACCGCCGGCCCUGAAAUGGAGUGGCGGCCCGUCCGCGGCGACCUCUGCGUAGUAAACCAACUCGCACCGGAACCCCGACGUGGCCACGCCGUAAAACACCCAACUUCUGAACGUUGACCUCGAAUCAGGUAGGACUACCCGCUGACCUUAAGCAUAUCAAUAAGCGGAGGA